CGUACUGAGACACGGACCAGACUCCUACGGGAGGCAGCAGUGAGGAAUAUUGGUCAAUGGGCGCAAGCCUGAACCAGCCAUGCCGCGUGCAGGAAGACGGUCCUAUGGAUUGUAAACUGCUUUUAUACAGGAAGAAACCCUCCCACGUGUGGGAGAUUGACGGUACUGUAGGAAUAAGGAUCGGCUAACUCCGUGCCAGCAGCCGCGGUAAUACGGAGGAUCCAAGCGUUAUCCGGAAUCAUUGGGUUUAAAGGGUCCGUAGGCGGUCUUAUAAGUCAGUGGUGAAAUCCCAUCGCUCAACGAUGGAACUGCCAUUGAUACUGUAAGACUUGAAUACUUAGGAAGUAACUAGAAUAUGUAGUGUAGCGGUGAAAUGCUUAGAUAUUACAUGGAAUACCAAUUGCGAAGGCAGGUUACUACUAAGUGAUUGACGCUGAUGGACGAAAGCGUGGGGAGCGAACAGGAUUAGAUACCCUGGUAGUCCACGCCGUAGACGAUGGAUACUAGCUGUUCGGAGCAAUCUGAGUGGCUAAGCGAAAGUGAUAAGUAUCCCACCUGGGGAGUACGCACGCAAGUGUGAAACUCAAAGGAAUUGACGG
rnacentral:rRNA from 1 species